rnacentral:rRNA from 1 species
GGGUAUGGCUGUUCGCCAUUUAAAGUGGUACGCGAGCUGGGUUUAGAACGUCGUGAGACAGUUCGGUCCCUAUCUGCCGUGGGCGCUGGAGAAUUGAGGGGGGCUGCUCCUAGUACGAGAGGACCGGAGUGGACGCAUCACUGGUGUUCGGGUUGUCAUGCCAAUGGCACUGCCCGGUAGCUAAAUGCGGAAGAGAUAAGUGCUGAAAGCAUCUAAGCACGAAACUUGCCCCGAGAUGAGUUCUCCCUGAGACU